UAAGCAUCCGAGAUGAGAAAACAUUAAUGUCAUCCUUGCCCUUUGAUUUAGAAAUGAAGAAAAUCAAUGGGGAAAUUAUACUCCGAGAUGCUU